CUUGGUCAUUUAGAGGAAGUAAAAGUCGUAACAAGGUUUCCGUAGGUGAACCUGCGGAAGGAUCAUUAUUGAAUAAACUUGAGCAGGCUGUUGCUGGCCCCUCCUGCAAAGGGGGCAUGUGCACGCUUGUCAUCUUUAUUUCUCCAACCUGUGCACAUAUUGUAGACCUGGGAGUGUUUGAAUAUUUUCGAGUUGGGACUGCUGCACGGUUGUUCGUCAGCUUUGCCUUGAUUUUUCAGGUCUAUGUCAUUUUCACAAACCUCUGAACUUGUUUGGAAUGUAAAAAAACCUAUAAAAAUAUACAACUUUCAGCAACGGAUCUCUUGGCUCUCGCAUCGAUGAAGAACGCAGCGAAAUGCGAUAAGUAAUGUGAAUUGCAGAAUUCAGUGAAUCAUCGAAUCUUUGAACGCAUCUUGCGCUCCUUGGUAUUCCGAGGAGCAUGCCUGUUUGAGUGUCAUUUAAGUUCUCAAACCCCCACAUUUUGAUGGGGGGGUUUUGGAUGUGGGGGAAUAAUGCAGGCCUAGUCUGCUCCCCUGAAAUGCAUUAGUGGUAUCUGAGCAAAAUAAGUACUACAGGUGUGAUAAAUGUAUAUCUAUGCCUCUGGUAUGCUUGCAGAAACAGAUUGCACCGCUUCCCAACGACUUUAUUAUUAUUCUUUAAAGACCUCAAAU
rnacentral:rRNA from 1 species